GACGAACGCUGGCGGCGUGCUUAACACAUGCAAGUCGAACGAUGAAGCCGGAGCUUGCUCUGGUGAAUUAGUGGCGAACGGGUGAGUAACACGUGAGUAACCUGCCCUUGACUCUGGGAUAACUGCUAGAAAUGGUAGCUAAUACCGGAUACGACCCUCGGAGGCAUCUCCAGGGGGUGGAAAGAAUUUCGGUCAAGGAUGGACUCGCGGCCUAUCAGCUAGUUGGUGAGGUAACGGCUCAACAAGGCGACGACGGGUAGCCGGCCUGAGAGGGUAACCGGCCACACUGGGACUGAGACACGGCCCAGACUCCUACGGGAGGCAGCAGUGGGGAAUAUUGCCCAAUGGGCGCAAGCCUGAUGCAGCAACGCCGCGUGAGGGAUGACGGCCUUCGGGUUGUAAACCUCUUUUAGUAGGGAAGAAGCGAAAGCGACGGUACCUGCAGAAAAAGCACCGGCUAACUACGUGCCAGCCGCCGCCGUAA
rnacentral:rRNA from 1 species